AGUGAACGCUGGCGGUAGGCCUAACACAUGCAAGUCGAACGGCAGCACAGUAAGAGCUUGCUCUUACGGGUGGCGAGUGGCGGACGGGUGAGGAAUACAUCGGAAUCUACUUUUUCGUGGGGGAUAACGUAGGGAAACUUACGCUAAUACCGCAUACGACCUACGGGUGAAAGCAGGGGAUCUUCGGACCUUGCGCGAUUGAAUGAGCCGAUGUCGGAUUAGCUAGUUGGCGGGGUAAAGGCCCACCAAGGCGACGAUCCGUAGCUGGUCUGAGAGGAUGAUCAGCCACACUGGAACUGAGACACGGUCCAGACUCCUACGGGAGGCAGCAGUGGGGAAUAUUAGACAAUGGGCGCAAGCCUGAUCCAGCCAUACCGCGUAGGUGAAGAAGGCCUUCGGGUUUUAAAGCCCUUUUGUUGGGAAAGAAAAGCAGCAGGUUAAUACCCCGCUGUUCUGACGGUACCCAAAGAAUAAGCACCGGCUAACUUCGUG
rnacentral:rRNA from 1 species